rnacentral:rRNA from 1 species
GACGAACGCUGGCGGCGUGCUUAACACAUGCAAGUCGAACGAAGUGGCGAACGGGUGUGUAAUACGUGUGUAACCUGCCCUCCUUUUUGGGAUAAGCCUUGGAAACGGGGUCUAAUACCGAACAAAGGGGGAUGGGCUCUCGGCCUAUCAGCUUGUUGGUGGGGUGAUGGUCUACGAAGGCGGUGACGGGUAGCCGGCCUGGGAGGGUGACCGGCCACAUUGGGACUGGGAGACGGCCCAGACUGCUACGGGAGGCAGCAGUGGGGGGUAGUGCACAAAGGGCGGAAGGCGGGUGCAGCGACGCCGGGUGGGGGAUGACGGCCUUCGGGUUGUAAACUCCUUUCACCAUCGACGCGGUAGAUGAAGAAAAAGCACCGGCUAACUACGUGCCAGCAGCCGCGGUAAUAC